rnacentral:misc_RNA from 1 species
AAUUCUCGACUGCCUCUCGGGGUGAAGUCGGAUUUGAAGCGUGUUUUUGCCAGGCUUUGUUGUUUUGGCUGCUUCUAAAAGCAUUCGAGUUCAUAUCUCCAUGCAAAGUAUCUUUGACGUGAUAAUCAAUCUACGUCGCGGAGAAAAGCUUAGAGGGGGGGAAGGGCUUGUGAAUGUGGUUUCGGUGUUGAUCU